GGUUAAGCGACUAAGCGUACACGGUGGAUGCCCUGGCAGUCAGAGGCGAUGAAGGACGUGCUAAUCUGCGAUAAGCGUCGGUAAGGUGAUAUGAACCGUUAUAACCGGCGAUUUCCGAAUGGGGAAACCCAGUGUGUUUCGACACACUAUCAUUAACUGAAUCCAUAGGUUAAUGAGGCGAACCGGGGGAACUGAAACAUCUAAGUACCCCGAGGAAAAGAAAUCAACCGAGAUUCCCCCAGUAGCGGCGAGCGAACGGGGAGCAGCCCAGAGCCUGAAUCAGUGUGUGUGUUAGUGGAAGCGUCUGGAAAGGCGCGCGAUACAGGGUGACAGCCCCGUACACAAAAAUGCACAUGCUGUGAGCUCGAUGAGUAGGGCGGGACACGUGGUAUCCUGUCUGAAUAUGGGGGGACCAUCCUCCAAGGCUAAAUACUCCUGACUGACCGAUAGUGAACCAGUACCGUGAGGGAAAGGCGAAAAGAACCCCGGCGAGGGGAGUGAAAAAGAACCUGAAACCGUGUACGUACAAGCAGUGGGAGCACGCUUAGGCGUGUGACUGCGUACCUUUUGUAUAAUGGGUCAGCGACUUAUAUUCUGUAGCAAGGUUAACCGAAUAGGGGAGCCGAAGGGAAACCGAGUCUUAACUGGGCGUUAAGUUGCAGGGUAUAGACCCGAAACCCGGUGAUCUAGCCAUGGGCAGGUUGAAGGUUGGGUAACACUAACUGGAGGACCGAACCGACUAAUGUUGAAAAAUUAGCGGAUGACUUGUGGCUGGGGGUGAAAGGCCAAUCAAACCGGGAGAUAGCUGGUUCUCCCCGAAAGCUAUUUAGGUAGCGCCUCGUGAAUUCAUCUCCGGGGGUAGAGCACUGUUUCGGCAAGGGGGUCAUCCCGACUUACCAACCCGAUGCAAACUGCGAAUACCGGAGAAUGUUAUCACGGGAGACACACGGCGGGUGCUAACGUCCGUCGUGAAGAGGGAAACAACCCAGACCGCCAGCUAAGGUCCCAAAGUCAUGGUUAAGUGGGAAACGAUGUGGGAAGGCCCAGACAGCCAGGAUGUUGGCUUAGAAGCAGCCAUCAUUUAAAGAAAGCGUAAUAGCUCACUGGUCGAGUCGGCCUGCGCGGAAGAUGUAACGGGGCUAAACCAUGCACCGAAGCUGCGGCAGCGACGCUGAUGCGUUGUUGGGUAGGGGAGCGUUCUGUAAGCCUGCGAAGGUGUGCUGUGAGGCAUGCUGGAGGUAUCAGAAGUGCGAAUGCUGACAUAAGUAACGAUAAAGCGGGUGAAAAGCCCGCUCGCCGGAAGACCAAGGGUUCCUGUCCAACGUUAAUCGGGGCAGGGUGAGUCGACCCCUAAGGCGAGGCCGAAAGGCGUAGUCGAUGGGAAACAGGUUAAUAUUCCUGUACUUGGUGUUACUGCGAAGGGGGGACGGAGAAGGCUAUGUUGGCCGGGCGACGGUUGUCCCGGUUUAAGCGUGUAGGCUGGUUUUCCAGGCAAAUCCGGAAAAUCAAGGCUGAGGCGUGAUGACGAGGCACUACGGUGCUGAAGCAACAAAUGCCCUGCUUCCAGGAAAAGCCUCUAAGCAUCAGGUAACAUCAAAUCGUACCCCAAACCGACACAGGUGGUCAGGUAGAGAAUACCAAGGCGCUUGAGAGAACUCGGGUGAAGGAACUAGGCAAAAUGGUGCCGUAACUUCGGGAGAAGGCACGCUGAUAUGUAGGUGAAGCGACUUGCUCGUGGAGCUGAAAUCAGUCGAAGAUACCAGCUGGCUGCAACUGUUUAUUAAAAACACAGCACUGUGCAAACACGAAAGUGGACGUAUACGGUGUGACGCCUGCCCGGUGCCGGAAGGUUAAUUGAUGGGGUUAGCGCAAGCGAAGCUCUUGAUCGAAGCCCCGGUAAACGGCGGCCGUAACUAUAACGGUCCUAAGGUAGCGAAAUUCCUUGUCGGGUAAGUUCCGACCUGCACGAAUGGCGUAAUGAUGGCCAGGCUGUCUCCACCCGAGACUCAGUGAAAUUGAACUCGCUGUGAAGAUGCAGUGUACCCGCGGCAAGACGGAAAGACCCCGUGAACCUUUACUAUAGCUUGACACUGAACAUUGAGCCUUGAUGUGUAGGAUAGGUGGGAGGCUUAGAAGUGUGGACGCCAGUCUGCAUGGAGCCGACCUUGAAAUACCACCCUUUAAUGUUUGAUGUUCUAACGUUGACCCGUAAUCCGGGUUGCGGACAGUGUCUGGUGGGUAGUUUGACUGGGGCGGUCUCCUCCUAAAGAGUAACGGAGGAGCACGAAGGUUGGCUAAUCCUGGUCGGACAUCAGGAGGUUAGUGCAAUGGCAUAAGCCAGCUUGACUGCGAGCGUGACGGCGCGAGCAGGUGCGAAAGCAGGUCAUAGUGAUCCGGUGGUUCUGAAUGGAAGGGCCAUCGCUCAACGGAUAAAAGGUACUCCGGGGAUAACAGGCUGAUACCGCCCAAGAGUUCAUAUCGACGGCGGUGUUUGGCACCUCGAUGUCGGCUCAUCACAUCCUGGGGCUGAAGUAGGUCCCAAGGGUAUGGCUGUUCGCCAUUUAAAGUGGUACGCGAGCUGGGUUUAGAACGUCGUGAGACAGUUCGGUCCCUAUCUGCCGUGGGCGCUGGAGAACUGAGGGGGGCUGCUCCUAGUACGAGAGGACCGGAGUGGACGCAUCACUGGUGUUCGGGUUGUCAUGCCAAUGGCACUGCCCGGUAGCUAAAUGCGGAAGAGAUAAGUGCUGAAAGCAUCUAAGCACGAAACUUGCCCCGAGAUGAGUUCUCCCUGACCCUUUAAGGGUCCUGAAGGAACGUUGAAGACGACGACGUUGAUAGGCCGGGUGUGUAAGCGCAGCGAUGCGUUGAGCUAACCGGUACUAAUGAACCGUGAGGCUUAACCUU
rnacentral:rRNA from 1 species